rnacentral:lncRNA from 1 species
AAAAAUCAAACUCAAUAUUUUCUGUUAUGUCUACGGUUAAUAUCAUCCAACUUUCAAAAAAAUAACUCAAGCACCUGAGUAUAAAUUGAUUGCAUAAAUCAAAAUUUACCAAUUUUAAAAUACGCAGACUUUCAUCCUGAGAUACCGGUAAGUAGGGCAAAAAUAGUAAUUCGAGUCCAACAAAAAAAAUCUCUCCCGCAGACUUUCAUCCCGAGAUACCAGUAGGUAGGGAAAAAAUAGUAAUUCGAGUCCAAUAAAAAAAGUCUCUCUCGUUAUUCGUAACGGUCAAUAUCACUACAGUUUCAAAAGAAUUCAAUACGAGCAGUAGAGUAUAAAUGCACUGCAAACGCAAACAGAAUUUAUCAAUUUUGAACUGAGCAGACUUUGAUCCCGAGAUCCGGGAAUGUUGGAAAUCAGAAAGGAUUAGUGUCCAUCCAUACAAAUUUCUCCCGUUAUUUGUAACGGUUAGUAUCACCAAACAUUCUAAA